rnacentral:rRNA from 1 species
UACGUAGGGGGCAAGCGUUGUCCGGAAUCAUUGGGCGUAAAGCGCGUGUAGGCGGCUCGGUAAGUCUGCUGUGAAAGUCCAGGGCUCAACCCUGGGAUGCCGGUGGAUACUGUCGAGCUCGAGUCCGGAAGAGGCGAGUGGAAUUCCUGGUGUAGCGGUGAAAUGCGCAGAUAUCAGGAGGAACACCAAUGGCGAAGGCAGCACUCUGGGACGGUACUGACGCUGAGACGCGAAAGCGUGGGGAGCAAACAGG